CUCUUCCCAAAGCUCUCUCAAUUUCUCUCCCAAUCUCUCUCAAUUCAAUUCUCUCUCUUGGUUUGAGUCUAGCAGCAAGAAGAAGAGAAGAUUAGAAGCUUUUAUGGAUAAUCUUUGAAGCGUAAACUACUAUGAAGAAGAGGAAUAUCAAGACUAUCCCAACUCAUAGAUGGUUCCUGAUUCAGUUUUUGUAAGGCUGGACUGCCUUUCUUUUUGGGACUACCCUGUUAUAGUUCAUUAACCUAGCUUAAGACAGUACUUAUAAUUCUCCAGUUAUAUGUA